rnacentral:rRNA from 1 species
CGAGCGACGCCGCGUGUGGGAUGAAGGCCUUCGGGUUGUAAACCACUGUCAGGGGCUAACAAUAAGCGUGUAACUCACGCGAUGAGUUAAACCCCAGAGGAAGUGACGGCUAACUACGUGCCAGCAGCUGCGGUAAUACGUAGGUCACGAACGUUAUUCGGAAUCACUGGGCUUAAAGGGCGCGUAGGCGGCUUAGCAAGUAGAGGUUGAAAUCCGGCGGCUCACCCGUCGAACUGGCCUCUAAACUGCUGAGCUGGAGUCAUGGAGGGGUGCGUGGAACUUGUGGUGGAGCGGUGAAAUGCUCAGAUAUCACAGGGAACACCGGUGGCGAAGGCGACGCACUGGCCAUGUACUGACGCUGAGGCGCGAAAGCCAGGGGAGCGAACGGGAUUAGAUACCCCGGUAGUCCUGGCCGUAAACGAUGCGCAUUAGGGAGAGGGUGUUCCUAGACAUUCUCUCCCCAAGGGAAACCGUUAAAUGCGCCGCCUGGGGAGUAUGCUCGCAAGGGUAAAACUCAAAGGAAUUGACGGGGGC